CAGUCGCCGCGGGAAAACGUAGGUGGCAAGCGUUGUCCGGAUUUAUUGGGCGUAAAGCGAGCGCAGGCGGUUAGAUAAGUCUGAAGUUAAAGGCUGUGGCUUAGCCAUUGUACGCUUUGGAAACUGUUUAACUUGAGUGCAAGAGGGGAGAGUGGAAUUCCAUGUGUAGUGGUGAAAUGCGUAGAUAUAUGGAGGAACACCGGUGGCGAAAGCGGCUCUCUGGCUUGUAACUGACGCUGAGGCUCGAAAGCGUGGGGAGCAAACAGGAUUAGAGACCCCUGUAGUCCCUGUCUCUUAUACA
rnacentral:rRNA from 1 species